rnacentral:lncRNA from 1 species
UGAGUAGCUGGGAUUACAGGGAGAGGAUGAGAUCUUUCUGCUGCAGCACAAGAGGAGUGUGUUGGCUGUUGGAGGGACCUGUUGGCCAGGGAGAACUAAUGUCCACUACUGAAGCCGAUCUUGCUGUGUGUCUUCUCUAUAUGAGAGAACUGAAGCUCAAAUUAGACUAACUUGUUGAAGUCUGCCUAGCUAUCAAGUGGUAAAGGUAGGAUCUGAACCUAGAGCUGUAUGAUUCCACAAUUCAUGCUCCUUUGGCUGCACUACUCUGCCUUCCGGUGGGGUUUUCAGAUUCACUUUUCAUGGAAAUUUAUUAUAAAAUCAUUUAUUGUAUGUCCCUAUUUCUCUCUCCAGUGAAAUAUGUAAACCUUAUAGGCUCUAUAUCUAUUUUACAUACAUUUGACAGAUAACACACUAUGUAACAUGUGUAUGAUGUAAGGACUUAUGUUACCAUAUGAAAUUUGUCCCAUGCUUGAUGAUAGAUCCUUGUAGUUGUAAUAGACAUAGAGCACUGGCCUAGAGGAUAGGUAAUGUUCUCAAGGUCGCACAGCCUGUGUAGAGCAAGGAUUCGAAUCCAGGUCUGCCUCACUCCAACUCCCACCCAUUGCAUCCACUCCUUGCUGUUCUGCUAUUACAUAGUAAUAGCGGGAAGAAAAGUGUUGAGGUGUGGAGAGUGGGUAGCCUUUUUUUUCUGAGACGGAGUCUCGCUCUGUCACCCAGGCUGGAGUGCAGUGGCGCGAUCUCGGCUCACUGCA